GAGUUUGAUCGUGGCUCAGAGUGAACGCUGGCGGCAGGCCUAACACAUGCAAGUCGAGCGGCAGCGGGUCGUAGCAAUACGAUGCCGGCGAGCGGCGGACGGGUGAGGAACACAUCGGAAUCUACCCAGUCGUGGGGGAUAACGUAGGGAAACUUACGCUAAUACCGCAUACGACCUACGGGUGAAAGCGGCGGACCGCAAGGCGUCGCGCGAUUGGAUGAGCCGAUGUCCGAUUAGCUAGUUGGCGGGGUAAGAGCCCACCAAGGCGACGAUCGGUAGCUGGUCUGAGAGGAUGAUCAGCCACACUGGAACUGAGACACGGUCCAGACUCCUACGGGAGGCAGCAGUGGGGAAUAUUGGACAAUGGGCGCAAGCCUGAUCCAGCCAUGCCGCGUGUGUGAAGAAGGCCUCGGUUGUAAG
rnacentral:rRNA from 1 species